rnacentral:rRNA from 1 species
GAUAAACGCUGGCGGCGCACAUAAGACAUGCAAGUUGAACGGACUUAAUCGAAAUAUUUCUAUUUUGAAGCGGUUAGUGGCGGACUGGUGAGUAACGCGUAAGGAACCUGCCUAUUAGAGGGGAAUAACAGUGAGAAAUCAUUGCUAAUACCGCAUAUGCCAUAGAUAUCACAUGAUAACAGUGGGAAAGGAGCAAUCCGCUAAUAGAUGGCCUUGCGUCUGAUUAGAUAGUUGGUGGGGUAACGGCCUACCAAGUCGACGAUCAGUAGCCGGACUGAGAGGUUGAACGGCCACAUUGGGACUGAGAUACGGCCCAGAAUCCUACGGGAGGCAGCAGUCGGGAAUAUCGCGCAAUGGAGGAAACUCUGACGCAGUGACGCAGCGUAUAGGAAGAAGGUUUUCGGAUUGGAAAAGAUUGUCGUUAGGGAAGAGAAAGGACAGUACCUAAGGAGGAAGCUCCGGCUAACUACGUG